rnacentral:rRNA from 2 species
CACGUAGGGGGCGAGCGUUGUCCGGAAUCACUGGGCGUAAAGCGCACGCAGGCGGAUGCGCGCGUCGGCUGUGAAAUGCACCGGCUCAACCGGUGCACUGCGGUCGAUACGGCGCGUCUGGAGUGCGGGAGAGGGAAGCGGAAUUCCCGGUGUAGCGGUGAAAUGCGUAGAUAUCGGGAGGAACGCCGGUGGCGAAGGCGGCUUCCUGGCCCGCAACUGACGCUCAUGUGCGAAAGCCAGGGGAGCGAACCGG